UUUAAGUCAACAGAAAAAAAUACCAGAAUAACAGAUCACCAGAAGCAAAGACGUGGAUGGAAAGCAGGCAUCAACACCACUACCACCAUCAUCACCACCACCACCAGCAGCUCCAACAACCAUCGUUCAGUCUUCCCCACCAUUUAUUAUGCCCCCAUCAUUACCACCACCACCACUUCCACGACCAUCAUCCCCACAUCAUUCAUUAUCCAUCACCACCACCACCAUCACCACCACCACCACCUGCUCUUACUCAAAACAAAAACUACAACCAGUGCUAGAUAGCUGCUGAGUCAGUGGAGAUGCUGGGGUAGACAGGAGGUGGAGUAGUAAGUAGCCAAACGGCCACUUAUUCUAACAUUUAACAUCGUUAAAACAUUUUUACAUCUUUCUUUGUAGACCAUACGGGUAGAUCAUUAAAUAAGAAGACUGAUGGGCAACCUGAGAGGCCCAGGCCAGCACUGCCCAGCUGUGAAUCAACCUGCUUCCUUUCCUUGCUCUGAUGACAGAAUCCUCCAUACCCAGUUCCCUUCCUGUGAAUAUUUUUUCAAGAGAGAUCCAGCAUCACACUGCUGAGGCUCAAGCAAGCGGAGUUGGAUCAAGCAAUUGUCUUCUCGAUGAUACAUACAUAUCCAGAAUACCACUUAUCCUGAGGGAUGGAGAAGGAAGCAUAUGUAUUCAGAACAUAAGACAUCCAAACAUAAAACGACAAAAGGGCUCGAGUCAUCCUGAAUUUUCUUUGUAUCUCCUAUGGUUUCCAUGAGGGACAGGCCAAUUUUUGCCUCCAAGAUCAUAAUUGGUAAGUUUGCCAGUGUUCUUAUUCCUUUACGGUCCAAGAAGCUUUGACAAAGGACCUGAUUGGACAUUCUUCCAUGACUGAUGCUUAUAUCAUACAAGGCCAACAUUUCAUAGAAUAAACAUCCAGGAGAGGACUCCCUUGGGGCCUUGUUCUCCAUCUACCAGCCACUCACUGUCACACACCUGGAAACUCGCUGAGUGUGCUUUGGCUAAUGUCUAUAGACAGAAUGGCCAGUAUGAAAGCAAUAUUCUUGGGGUGACCAUUAACUCUAUUGAAUAUUAUUAUUUACUAGGCAUCAAGCAACAGCUUUGUGUUCAUUGUGGAUACAUAGAUACAUCCCUGGCCUCUGUCCCUGGGCAACUUGCGACAGUCCUUCCAUCACUGUGCUGGCUGCCACCCUAGGUUGAGACCCACUGGUCCAGAUAUCCCUGCUAUGACUACGUAAGAUAUUCUAGACAUUUAUCAUUUCUGUUCUUGUUUCAGCGCAGGUAGUCGAGUCAGCAUCUCAUCACUGUAACAAAGUACCCGAAUUUUUUUCUUUUAAAAAACAAUUCAGAAGAUGAAAGGCUUGUUUUUGCUCACAGUCUCAGGGACAACAGCUUAUGCUCUCUUGACUCCAUUGAUUCUGAGUCCAUGGGGAAGGGGAGCUUCACAGUGAGGAGCAUGUGUGGUAAUGCAGAUUGGAUCAUGCCAUAGCAGACAGGAGGCUGAGAGAUGGAUGGGGUUUACCUCAUUCCUUCAAGUAGGCCCCACAUUCGAAAGUUUCUGUCACCUCCCAGUCAUUCCACUAAAUUAUGGAUUUAUUAUUUUAUUAGUCCAUUGAUGAGCACAGAGUCAUCAAGAUCUAAUCACACACUAAAAGCCCCACCUCUUAUUAGUGUUGCAGUGGGGAACCUUUAGGCACCAGAGUCUGAAGGAGGUCCUUUUAUAUCUAAAUCACAAUAGAGCAAGGGAUUUCCUAUACUAUAUAUUUGGUAGAUUUCUUUUUCCUUUACACCUGUGAUUAUUUUUUUUCUCUCUGAAGAGACUUAGUUUUUGGAGUUUCAAAACACAGCAAAUAUAUAAUUUUCAUCAAUGUAUUGUAAGACAACUUCUUCCUCUGUCUACAGAAGUGUAUGCCUGUCACAGAUUGACUUUGGACUUAUACUGUGGUAGAUAGGAAACAUGGAGAAAGAAAAGAGGGUUAGACCUCAAGAUUUCAGGUUAGCCAUUUCCAAAUGUUGGCAAUAAUUGGGCAAACCAUCACACUUUCUCUACUAUAGUCCUUUUGAUUCUAAAAUGGGUAUAGUUAUAAUGGAAUGAGUAGUUAUAUGGGUCAAAUAAGUUGAUACUACAAAGAUAAUUGAAAGAUAAAACAGUGUAUGGAAUUUGAAUAUGGUGCCAAUGCCUAUAAUUCUACUGGAGAAGUAAAGGCAAGAAGAUAAGGAGUUCAAGUUAGCCUCAGCUACAUAGGAAAUUUGAAUUCAUCUUAGGCGGCAUAUAUAUAUAUAUAUAU
rnacentral:sRNA from 1 species